rfam:Schistosoma mattheei strain Denwood, Zambia genome assembly, scaffold: SMTD_scaffold0028629
AUCCAAUUGAUGAGUCCCGAAUAGGACGAAAUGUGUGUCCUAGAU